rnacentral:RNase_P_RNA from 1 species
UAACUGCCUCGGGUAACCGCGUGAUCUUCAUCAUGAGGAAAGUCCGAGCUCCACAGGGCAGGAUGCUGGAUAACGUCCAGGAGAGGCGACUCUACGGCUAGUGCCACAGAAAAGGAAACGGUAGCUUGGCCCGCAGUAAGCUAUAGGCAAUUUAAACUUUGUUUAGACUGUACGGCUUGACUUAAAGGUUAAUUCUACCAGAGCUGAAAAGGUGCGGUAAGAGCGCACCAGCGGUCAAGGAAUUGGCCGGCUUGGUAAACCCCAUCCGGAGCAAGACCAAAUAGGGGAAGAUAAAGUGGCCCGCUUUUUCCCGGGUUGGUUGCUUCAGGCGUCGGGCAACCGGCGUCGCAGAUAAAUGGUUACCUCCUCACUCCGGUGAGGCACAGAACUCGGCUUAUAGAGGCAGUUAUCUA